UGGGGGAUAUUGCACAAUGGGGGAAACCCUGAUGCAGCGACGCCGCGUGAAGGAAGAAGGCCUUCGGGUUGUAAACUUCUGUCGUACGGGACGAUAAUGACGGUACCGUACAAGAAAGCCACGGCUAACUACGUGCCAGCAGCCGCGGUAAAACGUAGGUGGCAAGCGUUGUCCGGAAUUACUGGGUGUAAAGGGAGCGCAGGCGGACUAGCAAGUUGGAAGUGAAAUCUAUGGGCUCAACCCAUAAAUUGCUUUCAAAACUGCCGGUCUUGAGUAGUGCAGAGGUAGGCGGAAUUCCCGGUGUAGCGGUGGAAUGCGUAGAUAUCGGGAGGAACACCAGUGGCGAAGGCGGCCUACUGGGCACCAACUGACGCUGAGGCUCGAAAGUAUGGGUAGCAAACAGGAUUAGAUACCC
rnacentral:rRNA from 1 species